CUGCUGGAGUAGGCACCCAUUUAAAGAAAAAAUGAAGAAGCAGCAAUAAAGAAGUUGUAAUCGUUACCUAGACAAACAGAGAACUGGUUUUGACAGUGUUUCUAGAGUGCUUUUUAUUAUUUUCCUGACAGUUGUGUUCCACCAUGAUUACUUUCUCCUUCAGCGAAUAGGCUAAAUGAAUAUGAAACAGAAAAGCGUGUAUCAGCAAACCAAAGCACUUCUGUGCAAGAAUUUUCUUAAGAAAUGGAGGAUGAAAAGAGAGAGCUUAUUGUUCCAUGAGAAAUGUCCAGUUUCCUGGAAUGGCUCCUCAGAAUCUGGGAAGGGUAGAUAAAUUUAAUAGCUCUUCUUUAAUGGUUGUGUAUACACCAAUAUCUAAUUUAACCCAGCAGAUAAUGAAUAAAACAGCACUUGCUCCUCUUUUGAAAGGAACAAGUGUCAUUGGGGCACCAAAUAAAACACACAUGGACGAAAUACUUCUGGAAAAUUUACCAUAUGCUAUGGGAAUCAUCUUUAAUGAAACUUUCUCUUAUAAGUUAAUAUUUUUCCAGGGAUAUAACAGUCCACUUUGGAAAGAAGAUUUCUCAGGUGACUUUCCAUAUCAAAUAUCAUUAUGGAAUUUUUCAUGUUUUCAACAUAAAGAACAGAGGAGGUUGGGCAACAGAGAUGCUUUCAAUGACACAUGAGAAAACAGGGAAAGCCCAUUUCAUUGCUGAACUUAUUUCAAGGUCAAUCGUAUGUUCCUACUACAGGAUGACUGCAAAAAUUGUAGAGUCAUCCAACAUAUAUGUGUUGAGCAUGCAGAUGCAUGUGUCAAAGGACACAUGAGUAACCAAGACUGACAGGCCCCAGCCUCAGGUGAGAUUCCAGGUUAGCAGCAAAGACAGACAUUGAACAAUUAAUGACAAGUACAAGAAAAAGUGUUUCAUGGGCACUUAGACCAGGGGUUCCUAAUAGUGGGAUUAGAGAAGUCCUACCUGGGGAAAUGAUGUUUAAAGGGAGACCAGAAUGAAUAGCAGGUGUGAGGUGCUAGAAGCAUUGUGUUUCAGAUAGAAGAAAGGUAAUUGUGAAGACCCUGAGGUGAGAAAGGACAUCUGUUCCUAGAUCUGGAAGAAGAGCAGUAUAGCUGAACAAGGAACAUGAAAAGGAAUGUAAUGGGAGAGUGAAGCUGAAGUCACUCAAGUGCUACCUCCUGUGGCAUCUUGUAAACCUAGGCAAGGAAUAGCCACUGAGUCACUUUAAUCACGGCAAAAGUGUAAUUCGGUUUCCAAAAUUAGGGGAACACUCCAGAUAUAGCCCGGGGAAUAGAUUGCCAAGAGGCUAUGGAGAAUGUCAAGAAACAAGGAGUCCAUUAUGGCUGGAGCAGAGUGUUUGCUUUCAUCUCCUUUUUAUUUUCUAAGACUUUCUAA
rnacentral:lncRNA from 10 species